CACAAUUCAUUUUCCAACAGGCAUUUGAAAUUUUGAAGAUGACAGAAGAUAUUUCAAUAAAAUCGACCGUCAAGAAAGCUUUACAUUGACUAUUUUGUUAUAACUUACGUGGAGGAGUAGUGGACAUUUCUCGACUUCCAGAGGCUGCUACUGGUGGGAUCCGAGUUGCUGUUAAAGAUAGUAUAAAAUUAGCCCAAGCCAAGGUUCUUACCAGAUAUAGCUUUGACUACGGCUAUUGGCCGAAACGUGUCAGCUGAC